UGAACUGUAAUAUAGUUCUAAAAA
rnacentral:tRNA from 1 species